CCGUCUCUCGUAUUCUCUCCCUCUCUCACGCGAUCCCGCCACAGUCCGCCGCCGACCACAGCCAGCCGUCUGCCGCAGCGCUCCUCCUCGUCUCCGUCCGGAAAGGCCCCCCCCUCUCUCACUAAGUUAUCCUCUGUGCAGCGCCUGCCAGUCGCCUUUGGCGCGCGUCGCCGCCACUCUCCGUUCGCCGUUGCCCGUUGCCAGUUUUGUGGUUGUGGGUAUUGAGUGAUCCGCCCUUCUCCUUUUCCUUUGUAGUGAGAUAAAAUGGGAGAGAGGAAGGUGCUUAACAAAUACUACCCGCCGGAUUUUGAUCCGUCAAAGCUACCAAGGGUUCGUAGGCCCAAAAAUCAGCAAAUGAAGGUUCGUAUGAUGCUUCCUAUGAGCAUCCGGUGCAAUACUUGUGG
rnacentral:misc_RNA from 1 species